AGGCCUCUUCGGAGGUACUUCAGUGGCGGACGGGUGAGUAACACGUAGGUGACCUACCCCGAAGUGGGGAAUAACAGUCCGAAAGGAUUGCUAAUACCCCAUGUGAUCGAUGAGGUUAGAGUCUUGUCGAUUAAAGCAGUAAUGUGCUUCGGGAGGGGCCUGCGCCCCAUCAGCUAGUUGGUAGGGUAAUGGCCUACCAAGGCUACAACGGGUAGGGGGCCUGAGAGGGUGACCCCCCACAUUGGCACUGACACACGGGCCAAACUCCUACGGGAGGCAGCAGUGAGGAAUAUUGCUCAAUGGGCGAAAGCCUGAAGCAGCAACGCCGCGUGCGCGAUGAAGGCCUUCGGG
rnacentral:rRNA from 1 species